CAGGUCACUCCUACGGGAGGCAGCAGUGGGGAAUUUUGCGCAAUGGGCUAACGCCCGACGCAGCAACGCCGCGUGGAGGAUGAAGGUCUUUGGAUUGUAAACUCCUGUCAGCAGGGAAAAAGCGAAUUGGCCUAACACGCCAGUGAGUUGAUUGUACCUGCAGAGGAAGCCCCGGCUAACUCUGUGCCAGCAGCCGCGGUAAUACAGAGGGGGCAAGCGUUGUCCGGAUUGACUGGGCGUAAAGGGCGUGUAGGCGGUUCUAUAAGUCGGUCGUGAAAGGCGUCGGCUCAACCGAAGCAGUGCGACCGAGACUGUAGGGCUUGGAGCGCGGAAGAGGAAAGGGGAAUUCCCGGUGUAGCAGUGAAAUGCGUAGAUAUCGGGAAGAACACCAAUGGCGAAGGCGCCUUUCUGGUCCGUUGCUGACGCUGAGGCGCGAAAGCGUGGGGAGCAAACAGGAUUAGAUACCCUGGUAGUCCACGCUGUAAACGAUGAGUGCUAGUUGUCGGCAUGCAUGCAUGUCGGUGACGCAGCUAACGCGCGAAGUCGUCCGCCUGGGGAGUACGGUCGCAAGAUUAAAACUCAAAGGAAUUGACG
rnacentral:rRNA from 1 species